AGCUUCUGGACAUCUUGUUGAAAUGCAGAUUCUAAUUCAGUAAGUCUGGAAGAGGGUCUGAGAGUCUGCAUUUCUAACAAGCUUCCAAGAGAUGCCAG
rfam:Homo sapiens chromosome 3, GRCh38 reference primary assembly.